CCUACGGGAGGCAGCAGUGAGGAAUAUUGGUCAAUGGACGAGAGUCUGAACCAGCCAAGUAGCGUGAAGGAUGACUGCCCUAUGGGUUGUAAACUUCUUUUAUAUGGGAAUAAAAUGUUCCACGUGUGGGAUUUUGUAUGUACCAUAUGAAUAAGGAUCGGCUAACUCCGUGCCAGCAGCCGCGGUAAUACGGAGGAUCCGAGCGUUAUCCGGAUUUAUUGGGUUUAAAGGGAGCGUAGGUGGAUUGUUAAGUCAGUUGUGAAAGUUUGCGGCUCAACCGUAAAAUUGCAGUUGAAACUGGCAGUCUUGAGUAAAGUAGAGGUGGGCGGAAUUCGUGGUGUAGCGGUGAAAUGCUUAGAUAUCACGAAGAACUCCGAUUGCGAAGGCAGUUCACUGGACUGCAACUGACACUGAGGCUCGAAAGUGGGGGUAUCAAACAGGAUUAGAUACCCGGGUAGUC
rnacentral:rRNA from 1 species